GCAAGUCGAGGGGCAGCAUAGAAGUAGCAAUACAACUGGUGGCGACCGGCGCACGGGUGAGUAACGCGUAUGCAACCUACCUAUCAGAGGGGAAUAACCCGGCGAAAGUCGGACUAAUACCGCAUAAAACAGGGGCACCGCAUGGUGAUAUUUGUUAAAGAAAUUCGCUGAUAGAUGGGCAUGCGUUCCAUUAGGUAGUUGGUGAGGUAACGGCUCACCAAGCCGACGAUGGAUAGGUGAACUGAGAGGUUGGUC
rnacentral:rRNA from 1 species